rnacentral:misc_RNA from 1 species
CGUUGCUCCAAUUUUCAGCUCCAAUUUGCUCUGCAAUCGAAAACCCAUCUCAGAGUUAUGGAAAAAGAUGCAUCUUUUUUGUUUGGUGGCAUCUCUUUCAAUCGAAAAAAGUUUGCUCGCGAUUUCGACAGAUUUAAGGGGAAAAUUCAAGUUGAUUCAGCUGAGAAACUGAACUUUAUUGACAAGGAGGAUAAAACUAUUGAUGAUUCGUUAGAGAAAGUGGAGUUUGUCGAGAAUGAGAUAUCUGGAAUGGAGGAUGGGACAAGUACUAGCGUGAGUAAGAAGAGGAAGAGGAAGGAGAAGGGAAAAGUUCCUGAUGUGGAGGGAUUUUCUGUCUUCAAGAGUUCAAAAUUGAAAGAGGAAGCUGCAAGCGAAGAGACUGAUCAAUCUGUAAAUGAACUGCUUCAGGGAAAGAAAGAAUAUUAUCAACAAUUGGAGAGGGACGCAAUUUUUCGGAAGAUGCACAACAUUCAUGUUUCAGGGAGUAACAUCCCUUCGCCAUUGCUCAAUUUUUCUGAACUAAGAUCAAGAUAUGAAUGUCGAUCAUAUCUAUUGCGAAAUCUGGCAAAACUAGGAUUUAAAGAACCAACGCCAAUCCAAAGGCAGACUAUUCCAGUCCUCUUAUCUGGGCGUGAAUGCUUUGCUUGUG